rnacentral:rRNA from 1 species
CAGCCACGGUAGGCUCAGUGACUGGGGUGAAGUCGUAACAAGGUAGCCGUAGGGGAACCUGCGGCUGGAUCACCUCCUUU